rnacentral:hammerhead_ribozyme from 1 species
GUCCGGUUGACGUGUCCAAACUAGGACGAAACUCGUGUCCUGGAU